UGGGGAAUUUUGCGCAAUGGACGAAAGUCUGACGCAGCAACGCCGCGUGGAGGAUGAAGCCCUUUGGGGUGUAAACUUCUGUUAAUCGGGAAGAAAAAAUAGUAGUUAAUACCUGCUAUAAUGACGUUACCGGUAAAGAAAGCACCGGCUAAUCUCGUGCCAGCAGCCGCGGUAAUACGAGAGGUGCAAGCGUUAUUCGGAAUUAUUGGGCGUAAAGGGCGCGUAGGCGGUCCUAUAAGUUUUUUGUUUAAUGCUCCGGCCUAACUGGAGAAAUGCAAAAAAGACUGUAGGGCUAGAGUAUAAUAGAGAGAAGUGGAAUUUUCGGAGUAGCGGUUAAAUGCGUAGAUCUCGAAAGGAACGCCAAUGGCGAAGGCAGCUUCUUGGAUUAUUACUGACGCUG
rnacentral:rRNA from 1 species